ensembl:lncRNA
ACCCUGUACUUACAGUACGCUGUGUCCAGCCCAGAGGUGAAAGCCAUCCAAAGCAGAGUAACUGUGCUUUGCGUCCAAGUUGAUACCUGUGGAGAGGAAAGGAAAGAGAGAGUGAGUAACACAAGGAGAAACAGAGGAAACCUGUACUUACAGUACGCUGUGUCCAGCCCAGAGGUGAAAGCCAUCCAAAGCAGAGUAACUGUGCUUUGCGUCCAAGUUGAUACCUGUGGAGAGGAAAGGAAAGAGAGAUUGAUACCUGUGGAGAGAAAAGGAGAGAGAGUGGGUAACACGAGGAGAGACCGAGGAAACCUGUACUUACGCCGCUGCCUGUGGAGAAAGAGAAAGCGAGUGAGCACCCAAGGAACGAACUGUGUGAACCAGUACUUACUGUGAGCUGUAAUCAGCGAAGAGCCGUUGCCUGUGGAGGAAGAGAAAGAGAGUGAGCACCCCGAGAACGAACUGUGUGAACCAGUACUUACCGUGAGCUGUAUUCAGCGAAGAGGAGGAAGAAGGAGGGCGCUACGGAUACCUAAGACUCAGGCCGGGGCCCGAGUCCCACGCCCCGGAUCCCCGUGGCCCCCUUGCUCCCUGACCUCUUCCCGGCCAUAGCCCAUCUGGAGGGCCGAGUCAGAGUUUAGUUUUAAUUGCCCUUUCCCUAUUCCCCAAGCUAUUUUUAAAUAUUUAAAUAAAGAUUGUUUUAUCACUUACUUGUUCUCGUGU